UACGAAGGGGGCUAGCGUUGCUCGGAAUCACUGGGCGUAAAGCGCACGUAGGCGGAUUGUUAAGUCGGGGGUGAAAUCCUGGAGCUCAACUCCAGAACUGCCUUCGAUACUGGAAGACUCGAGUCCGGGAGAGGUGAGUGGAACUGCGAGUGUAGAGGUGAAAUUCGUAGAUAUUCGCAAGAACACCAGUGGCGAAGGCGGCUCACUGGCCCGGUACUGACGCUGAGGUGCGAAAGCGUGGGGAGCAAACAGGG
rnacentral:rRNA from 1 species